rnacentral:rRNA from 1 species
UUGAACGCUGGCGGCAGGCCUAACACAUGCAAGUCGAACGGUAACAGGAAGCAGCUUGCUGCUUCGCUGACGAGUGGCGGACGGGUGAGUAAUGUCUGGGAAGCUGCCUGAUGUAGGGGGAUAACUACUGGAAACGGUAGCUAAUACCGCAUAAUGUCGCAAGACCAAAGAGGGGGACCUUCGGGCCUCUUGCCAUCGGAUGUGCCCAGAUGGGAUUAGCUUGUUGGUGGGGUAACGGCUCACCAAGGCGACGAUCCCUAGCUGGUCUGAGAGGAUGACCAGCCACACUGGGACUGAGACACGGUCCAGACUCCAACGGGAGGCAGCAGUGGGGAAUAUUGCACGAUGGGCGCAAGCCUAAUGCAGCCAUGCCGCGUGUAUGAAGAAGGCCUUCGGGUUGUAAAGUGCUUUCAGCGGGGAGGAAGGGAGUAAAGUUAAUACCUUUGCUCAUUGACGUUACCCGCAGAAGAAGCACCGGCUAACUCCGUG